UACGUAGGGAGCGAGCGUUGUCCGGAUUUAUUGGGCGUAAAGCGCGCGUAGGCGGUUUGAUAAGCCGGGUGUGAAACCUCCAAGCUCAACUUGGAGCGGCCACUCGGAACUGUCAUGACUUGAGUCAGGUAGGGGAACACGGAAUUCCCGGUGUAGUGGUGGAAUGCGUAGAUAUACGGGCGAGGAAUACCAGUGGCGAAAGCGGCACCCUGGCAUUAGCCUGACGCUCAUGUGCGAAGGCGUGGGGAGCGAACGGG
rnacentral:rRNA from 1 species